rnacentral:rRNA from 1 species
GACGUAGGGCGCGAGCGUUGUCCGGAUUUAUUGGGCGUAAGGGCGCGUAGGCGCUCGUGCACGUCCGUUGUGAAAUCGCCCGGCUCAACUGGGGCGGGGUCAGCGAUACGGCGGAGCUUGAGCAAGCUAGGGGGCAAUGGAAUUCCCGGUGUAGUGGUGGAAUGCGUAGAUAUCGGGAGGACACCAGUGGCGAAAGCGGCGGCACUGGGACAGUAACUGACACUCAGCUGCGAAAGCGUGGGGAGCAA